rfam:Algibacter lectus DNA, contig: contig00009, strain: JCM 19300.
GUUUAGCCCCGAUAGCAGCGACAUCCUUCUUAUAUGCUUAAUAUUUAAGUUAUUAAACAGAAAAAUAAUAACUGGUUAAGCUAUAUUUUUUUAAACACAAAUGACGUUUCUGCACAUAAAAAGAUAUAGCGGAAAGCGGGAAAUAGC